UCCGACAUAGCUCAGUUGGUAGAGCAGGCGGCUGUUAACCGCCCGGUCGUAGGUUCGAGUCCUACUGUCGGAGCCA
rnacentral:tRNA from 1 species